rnacentral:lncRNA from 1 species
AAACAUAAAAAUUCAUGUCUUCAUAUGAAACAAUUAUAUGCAAUUUCUAAACAUUAAAAAAUAGUUAGAAAAACGGGGCUAAAAACGAGCUUACUGUAACACAUACUGAAUUUGCAUCAUGCUCAAAAAGCCAUGCCUUUCCUAAGGCAAAAUAGCACCUCAGUUCACAGUAUCGCUGCAGGCAUUCUCAGUUCCCUUCCAAAAUACUUAAGCCUGUGUCCACAAGGCUGAUAGCCAGCCCUUUCCUUCAAUAUAAUUUGGAAAGCAGCAGGAAACAUGGCUCACAACGAAUGCAGGAAUACCUGACAUACACAAAACGGAACCUACUUUCCACUCUGAGCCCAUUUUUGAAGUCUAACUAAGUAUGCUCUAUUGUAACUUCACCCUUGUGAACUCCUCCCAGAUCAAGGGUAUUCUGAUCAAGAAUUCUCACAGCUGAGUAUUUUUCUGCUACAUAAAACCAGGACAAACUCUUAUUCUAGACAUACACUCUUUUGGCAGGACUAGGGGAGGAGGUUAUAUCUAGUUCACAGAAAAUUAGGUCACCUAUUUCAUAAGCAAAUAUAAACUGCAUGUUGAAGUUUGUAAGCGUUUCAUAGGUACUCUCCCUCAAGAGAAAUUUGGAAGAAACUUAUCACAAAUUCUGCUCAGAGCUAGAUUAAUUAUAAAUGCAGGAGGAAGGAAGUUCUUAUUUACAACCUUAGUCAAACAAAAAACCAUUAUAUCAUCUUAACAGCUGUGUAACAAUUUGGCAAGCCUCAGAGUAAAGUUUUUUUCUGAACAUCCCGAAAGAACAAUUAUUUUUGUUUCCUCAAAAAUAUCUUCUUUGGUAUAAAGAUUGAGCCAGAUGAAUAAACUACAGAACACUAGAAGUGGAAUGUGUACUACAAUGACUAUUUUUACUGCUAAAGCUGCUGUACUAAGUUGACCACACUAUAUAAAGAAUGUCAUUUGUGACACUACAAAUGGUAAUUACUUGGACCACAUUCACAUCUUGUUAAGGACAAGGGUUGGCAGGAAAGAACUGAUCUGCAUUAAUUUGCUGUAGCCAAAAUGAGCCACAAAGCUGCAAAACAACUAUUUAAAACGUAGGUGACAGCAACCAGUUUAAAAGCCACAUUACAGUAAGUCUCUUAAUUCAUUAGCACCUCAGUAUUUAAAAGCAAAAUAAUUUCCAAGUUGUGUUUGUCUACUGCAGUAUGAGAUAGUUUAUGCAGAUGCAGAAGUUUGUUGAAUAUUCCAUUAGCCUACAGUCUCAUUUCCUCAGAUUGAUAACAGUGAAGUGUGAAUUGGCUAGAACACUUUUUUAGUUUUUUAGUUUCUUUUUUUGUAGAACAUAUUACGAUGUUCUUAGCUCUCUAUCUCAAGUUAAAUUAAACCAAAAAAAGCACCACCAUGAAAGGAUUCACACUGAAACAAUCAAUUAUUUCAUGGCUUUUAUUGGUUUCCUAUCUUUCUUCAGGCCUCUAAACACCCACUCAGGUUUAAGUCUUGCUGGCAACUUCUUCCUAUUAUCUUUCCAAAGGAUUUAUAAAGUUUUGCUGAUAGAAGCUACAGCCUAGCACACCUUAAAGGGACAGCUUGUGACAGAUCAGAACAGGCUUACGAGCCAAAAAAAAGAAAUCAGUUUUGCAGUUAUAAAUUUAAUUCCUCCAGGAGCUUUCUUCACAUUCUUCCUGCAUCUCAACAUAUCUCUGCAGUAAAGGUAGCUUAUAAUUACUAAAAUAUAUAAUUAAAGAUAACGUAUACUUAUAAAUAACUUCUGCCAGGGAGCAGGUUCAGACUACAUGAAUGUUGAGUUUGAUAGUGCCACAUACCUGUUUGCAUCAGCAAGGCAGGGAACACUGGAAUGAAAUGAAGCUACUUUGGAGAUCCCAAAAUUUGUACAGGUGAUGGAAUUUAUCCAUCUUCACCUUUAAGAAUUAGAGAUGUCCUUCCGUCCCAAAGACAAGGUGUUACAGCUCUUACUAUUAAAUCACCUCCUCUGCUUUUUCUUUCUCCAUUCCAUUCAUAAGAAGCAGGUUAAAGUGCAUUCACAGAGGUCAAUGCAUCUCGUCUUGUACACUUAUAUCACAGUAAAUAUAUCACAUUUAUAUCACUUAGUAAGUAGCUCACUUGACUAACUCUGAAGUAUGCAGAGGGAUAGGUAGAGAACAUGGUCCUGUCACUAGAAAUGCAGCUCUUUUGUAAAGGUAUCCCCUGACAUUAAUCUCCCUUCUUCUCAAUAGUAAAAGUAGGCCUAAAACUGUAAAGAAACUGUUUGGUUUCUGACCAUCAAAACAAACAAGGAACUUCUUUAAAAGCUGGGAAAUUAGAGUAAAGCAGAACUCCAGCUUUUCAACUAGUAUGAUAUCAUCAGUAAAACCAACAAAAAAUGAAAUCUGGUUUUAAAACAGGUAGCCUAACUUCAGUAAAAAAUUUUCAGACCACAAUUGGUGCCUUUUGAUUUUAAGCUUAGCAUCCAAGAACACUUUGAUCAAUGCUUUUCAGGAAGACUGCUAGCAAUACAACAG